GGCUAGGGGUCAAAUCAGAGCUACAGCUGCUGGCCUACACCACAGCUCACGGCGGUGACCGAUCCUUAACCCACUGAGCGAGGCCAGGGAUCAAACGCGCAUCCGCAUGGAUCCUAGUUGGGUUUGUUACCUGCUGAGCCACAAAGGGAACUCCUCUCCCCAACUUUUGAGCGUCACUCACCCACCUGUCUUCCCUUGGGUCUGCAUCAGCCUGGCCCUGACCUUCUUCUGCAGAAAUCCCCCCAGCCUCCUGGGCAGCAGCGGCAGAAGGCUGUCGAGUACAGGGCUGGCUCCCCCCCAACUUUCAUGUCCCUGUUGAAGACGGUGGAUGGCGAGACGAACCAGCCCCUGGAUGUGUCUGUCAAGGUCACCACCGGCAGCUAUGAGUUUCAAAAGAAAAGAGAUCUGAGCCUCCUCCUCAAGCCUGGCCUCUUGGCAUCGUGGUCCAACGCCCAUCACCCCGGAGAGAACAGAAGCCGGUUGAGCACAGCUCGACCCUGCUCAGAACCUCAAAGCCCAGCAGCAGAACCUGGUCCCCUUCCUGGAAUCAGACUAUGACCGGCGGAUGCAGCAAUAGGCCCUGCAUCCCGUGCGUGUCACCCGCACCCAGAGGCGGCUCCAGACACCCAGUUCCUGCCCGUGCCUUUCCUUCUCCCACAUCCCGGAGGAGAGGACCCUGCCAAGAGGAGCAGCAUUGAUUCAAUGCAGCAGGAGCACAGAGAUGAGCCCAAAUCUCGACGAAAGAGGGGCCCUGACGCAGUGCCCCUUUCUCACUUGGCCCCCAGUCCACCGUCUAGUUCCUGGCGGACCACAGACCAGAGGUCACCGUUCUCGCCAAGAUCAAACGUCACGCCGGUCUGUGGUGGGGCAUCAGCCCUGCCAACCGGGCAGCAAUGGUCCAGGAGCUCGCCAAUGCCACGGCCAGCUCCAACGCCGCGUCCUGGACCGUUCAGAGGUAACCUGGCACCACCCGAACCCACAGCCCUCUGAGCUCCCCGGCUCUUUGCGAGACUUCCAGGUAAACAUCAGGACCUUCCGAGUCCACAGCAGCAGAAAAGUGUAAGGACUAACCUUGAAUGAGGACCGCGUGGCUGUCAGGUUUGGGGGGAAGGCGUUUAGAACUUUAUUAUAACGGGCUGCAGUGAUGCGCUAGCUGAAGAAGAAUCAACCGUGUAUAUUUACGAGAGCACCUCUGUCGUCCCAGAGAGGCCCCUCACGGCCUUUCUCGUCCGGAUCCACGCACGCAGGGCUCUGCUUUCCAUCACCGUGGGGCAGUGCUCUCUGUCCCUGAACUUCACAUGCCCAGACCGUGGACCUGCGCUCACCUGGACAGCUGCGCUUUUGAGAUGCGUCCAUACUGUCGCAUGCAUGCGUUGUCUUUUCAAUGUGCUGAGUGAUAUCUCGUGCCUACAUUCGACGGCUUUCCAUUCUGGUGGACAUUUGCGUUGUACCCAUUUUUAAGGCACAUGUUCCCUUUUCUCCUGAGAAAACACCUAGGAAGAAUCGUUUCAUGACGUUUAGCCUUUUAAGGAACUUAGAAGCAGUUUCCAAAGUGGAUGUGCCCUCUCGGCUCCCACCAGCAAUGUGCAAGGUUCCAGUUACUCCGCAUCCGCGCUGGCAGCAGGCAUGGUCCGCUUUGGGCGUUCAUUCGGCCGUUCCGGCUGUCCAUACGGUGAAUUGAAUUAUUUUCUCAUGUUUGACCAGUUUUGCGUUCUCAGGAUAAACCCCGUUUGGAAUUUCCAUGACGACACUACUAGAUCUUUCCAUAUUGACUAACAAAUCCACGAGGACGUCAUUUUUGGAAACGCCUUCUUUCAGUUCCUUGAAUUAGAUCGCUUUCAUUGACCUGUUUUGGAGUUUAUGGGCUCUUUCCUCUGUCACCUUCGUUCUGCUACCAGCCUAUUCAGUGUAUCUCCUGUACCUUGCAUCUCGGUUCUAGAAUUUUUAUUUCUUUUUUAAUCAACUUUUUCUUUAAUUUUACACUUACAGGAGGUUUUGCAAAGAUAGGAGAAAAUGUAUCCAAAUGCCCCUCUGUUUUCCUUCAUGUUAACAUCUUUCUUUACAAAGAACCAUGGUAUGUUUUUCAAAACUGAAGUUGGUAUGUUACACUAGCUAAACUCCAGACUGUGUUCAGAUUUCACCAGUUUUUACAUGAAUGUGGUUUUUUUUUUUUUGUUCCAAGAUUCAAUCCAGGAGACCACAUCGCAUUUAGAGAUUCUUGGUUACAGUUUGUCUGUCUUUGCCAAAACUUCUGUUUUUCCACUCAUUUCAAGGCUGUCCAGCUUUACCUCAUGAAGGGUAAUUAGAACAGCUGCCUCCAAGUUCACGUCUGAUAAUUCCCACAUCUGGGUCAUUUUGGGGUUGUCAUCUUUUGAUUGCCUUUCCCCUUGGGUUUUGGUCAGAUUUUCCUGGUUCUUGAGUGCUGAGCAAUGCUCAAUUUUUUAUCUUGGACAUGUUGUUUGUUUGUGUUAUGUGAGAAGACUGGAUCCUAUUAAAAACACCCUGGAGAAUG
rnacentral:lncRNA from 1 species